rnacentral:rRNA from 1 species
UAGGGAAUAUUGGACAAUGGGCGAAAGCCUGAUCCAGCAACGCCGCGUGCACGAUGACGGCCUUCGGGUUGUAAAGUGCUUUUAAGGGAGAUGAGAAAGGACAGUAUCUCUUGAAUAAGCCUCGGCGAACUACGUGCCAGCAGCCGCGGUUAAACGUAGGAGGCAAGCGUCAUCCGGAUUUAUUGGGCGUAAAGCGCGUGCAGGCCGUUUGGUAAGUUGGAUGUAAAAGCUCCUGGCUUAACUGGGAGAGGUCGUUCAAAACUACCAGGCUAGAGAUUGGGAGAGGGAAGUGGGAUUCCGGGUGUAGUGGUGAUAUGCGUAGAUAUCCGGAGGAACACCAGUGGCGAAAGCGGCUUCCUAGACCAUUUCUGACGCUUAGACGC